ACAAUGCCUUACAAAAUCUGGGUUUUCUAGGCAUUGAAUAGAUUAAUUUGAUUUGUAUUAUUCCUUAUAGGAAGAAAUCAUUUGGUAUUCAACAUGCCUUCUGGAACAAAUUAAUGACAAGUACCAAGGUUCAUCAAAGAAGUUCAAAUGGGGAAUCCUGGGCUACAGUUGAGAAGCUGAACUUGCAAGUCUUCUAAGAACCUGAACGUGGCAAGCACUUUAAAGGCAGAAGGAGGAGCACUAUAUGGAAGUUGCAUUGAGACAUAUUUGGGCUCUGUAUUCAAAAGAUCUACCUACUGACCAGACUCUCCAGAAGAAGAACCACCAAAAGGUUAAGUGGGCUCAUCCACCAGUCACUGAAGAUCUUCAGCAGGAUUUGAAUGAUCUAUUGUGUUUCUUGACAUCCCUCCACCUGUUACCUUUUCAAGAUGAAUAAGGAACUGGAAACACCUGAUGGGACUUGUCUCUGACACCAACCCAACAACGCAAAAUGAGGGCGCAGAAGUGCCCAAACUUAGAAAAGAGCUUCCUCUCUGUUGCUUUAUUCCCUGGACACAAUGUUUCUCACUCCAGAUCCUAUUUUUCAUUUUGGGUGAUCCAUAACUUGGAACCAGAGUAUUCGAACAGGGGUGCCAACUCUUUUUGCUGUAUAGAAUUCUGAGAACUAGAUGCAUACCAAACCAUUUUCUUUUACAGACACCAGAAGGCUUUGAAUGACCUAAAAUUUCUUAAGAGAAACCGCUGGGUAUGACUUGGUCUCUUGGCACUCCCCUCCCCCUCUGUCCUCAUUCCCUCUGUAAUUACAGAAACUGAAUUACUAAUGUGUGCUCCUCUGUUCUUUCUUCCCCCACCCCUCCUUUCCUCCUUUUGUAUUAUUCAGUAAGCAAGAUUGUAUCUUUUCACAUAAUUUGAAAAAUAACACCUUCAAUAUGAAGAAAAAGUGAUUGAAAAGAAACAGUAUUCCUUUUCUUUUCUCUUUUGUAAUGCAGACUGUAUGAUACUUUCUAUAAGUCACAGUUUCUUUAUUAUGUCAAUGUUUUUCUUCUAGGAGGUGUUAUGUUCCAAUUGAUAGCCCUGAAAAUAAUAUAGUGUUUUACGAAGUUCUGAAAACAUAAUUUUGCUUGGAAAUUCAUCUCUCCUUCCUCAGAGAAUUCAUGUGUGAUGGUUCUGUAACCCUUCAGUGAACCAGAUGCUUUAAGAGAGUGUGAAUUUUCUGACCCCUAGAAGAGUGGGCAUUAUUGUGAAUCCUGCUAGAGGAAAGGAGAGGGACCGAAAUCUGGUGAAAACUAAAGACCCAAAUCUCUCAUUGUUACCCUGUGGGGAGAUUUGGGUAUUUUAAAAAUCGAUUCCUUAUUCCUUCCCACCUUGACUGUACCAACAACUCUUAGCUUGAACCGAAUGUCCAGUCCUGGAUCAAGACAAAGAGAUUGGGAUGAGCUUUGGAUAAAUAGGCUGUUUUCAAGUCAUCUGAAUUUUGCUCAUCAGUAAUAAAGGCAUGUCUGAGCCAAUGGGCA
rnacentral:lncRNA from 1 species